rnacentral:rRNA from 1 species
UACGUAGGUGGCGAGCGUUGUCCGGAUUUACUGGGCGUAAAGAGCGCGCAGGCGGUCGGCCAAGUCGAGUGUGAAAGCCCCCGGCUCAACUGGGGAGGGUCACUUGAUACUGGUCGACUCGAAGGCGGGAGAGGGAAGUGGAAUUCCCGGUGUAGUGGUGAAAUGCGUAGAUAUCGGGAGGAACACCAGUGGGGAAGGCGACUUCCUGGCCCGUUCUUGACGCUGAGGCGCGAAAGCUAGGGGAGCAAACGGG